GCGAGAAUGACGCUGAAAAAUCCCUGAGACGCCACACCAAGAACUUGGGAUGUAACGAAGGAGCAACCAUGUGGCUUAUGGACUACCCACAACAGACGCAAUCCUUAAAACAAGACUGCGGGAAUCUGCUGUGCUUCCGGUACUACAGCGGUCUGAGCCUGUCAUGCCUAGCCCAGUCGGAGCCGAUUGACCUGGACUCGGUGUACAAGCUCGCGUCGCCCAAGGACAAAGACAAUGUAGCCGGGAACCGGAACAACAACCACAACCACAUCAACCACCAGCAGCACCACAGCCAGAGCAACAUCUACGUGUCCAGCAACAACUUGCACAGCAAAGAGCUCUCGGCCAAGCGAACCUACCUCAAGAGAUCCGAUGAGCCGAUGAAGAUCCACCCGGCCCCGGACUCGCCGCCCACGCCGCUCGCCCCCCAGUCCCAAGCACCGCCCACAACUCCGGCCCCGCCCACCCAGGGCAGCUCCGAGAGCGAGUCGGACAAUGAGAACCUCAUCAAGUCGAGCAAGAAGGGCUGGCGACUCCUCCGCAAGAAGAACAAGCGGACGAGCCCCGGCCCGGAGAUCCACCUCCCCAACGGCGAGGCCGCCUCCGACUCGGACUCGAAGCACUCCCGCAAGGAGCUCAUCACGUGGAACUCCCACGAGACCCGCUGCCAGCUGACCAAGGACCCGAGCUCCGAGUACUACCCCAUCUGGAUCAACAACAACGACCAGAGCGUCAAGAACGAGAACCACGAGAACGGCUACGAGACGCUCUAUCCCUCGGAGGAACCUCCGCCCCUCCCGCCGCGCACCUUCUCCCCGCGGCACCGCCCCCUCGAACGGUCCAAGGCCAUCCAGCCCCCGCCCCCUCCCCCGCCUCCCCCCGAGGUGUCACGCAAGCACAAGCCGAUUAGGUAUUCGGCCGAUCUACUCCGACCAAGCCUCCCGCCAAAACCAAAGAAGACCGAGUUCAGCUCCGUUGACGAAUUGUUCAGCCUCUCGAGCAUCGACACGAACAGCUUCGAGGAGCACGCGCCGACGAUAUCCCCGACGCCGGGCUCGACGCCCCGCCAGGCCCCCUGGCCACGCCCGAGCUGGAGGAGACGCCGCUGGUCAACCUGGAGUCCAUCCCCAACUCGGUGCUCCUGUCCAGUCCCGAGCUCCUGGACCGCCUCACCUGCCGCCUCGCCACCGCUUCUAGUCAAGAUUGUGAUAUAAGUUUAACGACGGCCGAGGUGCCCGUGUCGGUGCCGGUGCUCAACGGCCAUGUCGAGGAUCCGGCCCGAGGGACCAACGGGCGGGCCAGCGAUAGUGGGGAGUCGGUGCUCUCGCCGGACGGAUGCGUGGCGGCCGACCCGGAGGUGGAGCUAGUCAACGGGACCGACGAGGACUCCGGUGGAAGCGUCCGGAGGGAGGUCGAGUCCCUCAACUCCUCGAGUGCCGAGUCCGUCGAGUCCGCCGAGUCCAUCCCUGGAUUGGAACCCGUGUCCCUCUCCACGCCGCUCGAGCCUCCACUUCGUGCUCACAAGCCUCUCUCGCGGCAGGUACGCAUCACUUUUAUCUUCUUAAUCAACUCCCAACUAGUAUUUAGCAUUGAUGACUAAAAUCGAAAGGUAUUGCAAAUAUCUGCGCAUAUUUUAUUUUUUUUAAAAAAAGAGCUCCGACCUACAUUUUUUCCUGAAAUUUUUUUCGAAUUCCUCCUCAUUUAUUGAACAAUAUUUUCAGACAAAUGCAAAGGCCUAAUUAUAAUCACUAUAGUAAGAAGUGUAUACGUUUUGCUUCCGGAUGUAAGAGUCAUGCGAAAGUGCCACAAUUAAUUUCAUUAUCACCUAAACAGUUUAGCGGAUUAUGAGGCGACUAGCGACUUGACAAUGCAACGCCUCUAGAUGUUACCGUUUCAAUUUUACUUCCUCUUGAUUCCUAUCUUCCACUUAAGCUCAAUCUUGUGUUCGUCAAAACAGAGUAAAAACACUGAACAUAGAGCUAUAACUUGAUGAUCAUUUUCAAAAAAUGGCGAAGAAAGCCAUGAGAGAAUGAAUCUCUUUUUUUUCCCAUUUUUCUCUUUUCUUUUACGGCUGUAAGUGACUAUGCAAAAUUGUCGUAAGCACUCACAUUUUCUAAUUCUCACAGUCACUCUGAUUGCCGGAAUAUAUCGACG
rnacentral:lncRNA from 1 species